GACGAACGCUGGCGGCGUGCUUAACACAUGCAAGUCGAACGGAAAGGCCCUGCUUUUGUGGGGUGCUCGAGUGGCGAACGGGUGAGUAACACGUGAGUAACCUGCCCUUGACUUUGGGAUAACUUCAGGAAACUGGGGCUAAUACCGGAUAGGAGCUCCUGCUGCAUGGUGGGGGUUGGAAAGUUUCGGCGGUUGGGUAUGGACUCGCGGCUUAUCAGCUUGUUGGUGGGGUAGUGGCUUACCAAGGCUUUGACGGGUAGCCGGCCCGAGAGGGUGACCGGCCACAUUGGGACUGAGAUACGGCCCAGACUCCUACGGGAGGCAGCAGUGGGGAAUAUUGCACAAUGGGCGGAAGCCUGAUGCAGCAACGCCGCGUGCGGGAUGACGGCCUUCGGGUUGUAAACCGCUUUCGCCUGUGACGAAGCGUGAGUGACGGUAAUGGGUAAAGAAGCACCGGCUAACUACGUG
rnacentral:rRNA from 1 species